UACUUUUUGUUGUCCAAUUAUAUCACUUUUGCCAUAGCCGCUCCUUUCACAUUUUAACCCUUUCUUCUCCACCGUGUAGCCGUAAACCAUAGAGCUUCUAAGAUCAUGUUGAGGUUUUGUUUUCACUGUACGUACGCAGCACAAGUUUUCUCAUAAUUUCAGCGAUGAAGGAUUUGGAAAAAGUGUCCAAAGUUAGUGAUGAUUGCACACUUACUAUCGUUGAGCUGCGGGAGUCAUACAACAACUGGAAAUCAGUUGUAUGGGUUGUUAGAAUUCGACACGAGGCUCAAGGGGAUAUUUUAGUAACACAUGGAACUGCUUUCUCUGUUAGUAGUGAUGGAUUGAUACUUACUUCUGCACAUCUUUUCCCAAAGACUUCAUAUGAACUUGAUGUCAGGUGGUUAGAUGAAGCUAAUUUUCACCGGGCUAGUGUAGUAUUUCAAAAACCUAAAUGGGAUGUUAUAUUACUACAGGUCCUAGAUGUGAAUGGUUGCCAAUAUGCUACACUUACCAAUGAUGGUUCACUGUCAGUGGGCCAAUCUUUAUUACAUAUAGGGAAUCCCGAUCAAUUUGUGGGAUCAUUCUUGAUGGGCAAAGUUGCAUUUGAAUGUAUAGACCAUGUCGAAGUACAUAUAUUACUUCGACAUGGUCUAUACAUUCAAAUGCAACUUUGCUUAAGACCCGCUUGGACCAAAAAAAGAAAAAGAAAGCCCUCCUAAUGUAGAAAAAUCACUCUUUAUACUCUUCACAUUUUAACCCCUUCUUCUCCACCAUGUAGCCGUAAACCAUAGAGCUUCUAAGAUCAUGUUGAGGUUUUGUUUUCACUGUACGUACGCAGCACAAGUUUUCUCAUAAUUUCAGCGAUGAAGGAUUUGGAAAAAGUGUCCAAAGUUAGUGAUGAUUGCACACUUACUAUCGUUGAGUUGCGGGAGUCAUACAACAACUGGAAAUCAGUUGUAUGGGUUGUUAGAAUUCGACACGAGGCUCAAGGGGAUAUUUUAGUAACACAUGGAACUGCUUUCUCUGUGAGUAGUGAUGGAUUGAUACUUACUUCUGCACAUCUUUUCCCAAAGACUUCAUAUGAACUUGAUGUCAGGAGGUUAGAUGAAGCUAAUUUUCACCGGGCUAGUGUAGUAUUUCAAAAACCUAAAUGGGAUGUUAUAUUACUACAGGUCCUAGAUGUGAAUGGUUGCCAAUAUGCUACACUUACCAAUGAUGGUUCACUGUCAGUGGGCCAAUCUUUAUUAUAUAUAGGGAAUCCCGAUCAAUUUGUAGGAUCAUUCUUGAUGGACAAAGUUGCAUUUGAAUGUAUAGACCAUGUCGAAGUACCUAUAUCCGGUGCAACUUGUAAAACUUAUAUACCUACUGCCCUAUCGACCACACCUAGACAUAGAAUUAUGGGUCAUGUUUGGAAUAAAGAUAUUUUUAGGCAUUCUUCGUUCGGUACUUAUGCAAAAAAUCUUCAUCCUCUUGUUCCUAUAAUACAAAUGUAUGGCCUUAUUUGUGGGGAGGUUGUUCAGGUUGCCCCGUUUUCAAUGUUAAGGGGAAGUCGUUGGGAUGCUUGCUAUGAGUUCAGGGGGAUAUGAGAUCGCCAUCCAUGUUGCAGCGCUGAGAGAAAUACUAAGGCUGUUCAAAGAACAACACCUAGACGACGAAGAUGGGAAAAGAAAAGAUAUAUCAGAUCCUAAAGUUCAGGGCGGGGAUUCCAAGAAAUUCAAGGGUCUUCCGGCUGAUCGAAAAGGAAAAGGUGGGCAUUAUUCCGUGGUUGAUACUGUCUAGUGUCUACUAGAGUCAGCAAAUCUAUCAGCAGAAGAAUAUUCAAGUAGGAGCAGAAAGUAAAAGCGAUACUGACCAGUUUUUCAACCUUCCCUUUUUAUGUCUAAUAUAUGUUAUUGUCAAUUCAUUUGGGAUCUGUAAAUUGGAUGUGCCACACCUCUGUAAGGAGUACCCAUUUUCUUUUUCUAGAAGAAGGAACAAAUGCAGUGAGUUUGAAGUCAUGUUUGAAAGGAGUACUUCUAUAUCUUUUGUAGUCGCAGUGCUGGACACAAUUUGCAUGAUCACGUCAGCCUUGUGGUUGAGGCUACUGUGCGGUAGGUUGAGCUACGUUGGCUUAGUUCAGCUGCAACAGUCACAAGUAGGUGUUUCGCCUCUUGUUGUAUAUGGUGGUGGUGGUGGUGCCUUUGAGUACCUAGUCGUUAUAAGUUAGUUCCUUAUGUUUUAAGUAUCAACUUUGCUAUCUUUCUAUUAAGUUCCCGGUGCAUUCUUAGUUUGGCAUAUUCGGUCCCUGCCAAUUUAGUUACUGGCAGGGCCAGCUGUAGCUAUCCGUUGGUUAGAUGCUGUAAUUAUUCCCUUAGAGGAGAUAUGAAUGAAUCUAUCUAAGUGUAGCCCAAGAUUUCUUUUUGUUAUCUGUGCAUUUCCUUU